UUCAUGAAGCCGGAAUUGCUAGUAAUGGCAGGUCAGCAUACUGCCGUGAAUACGUUCCCGGGCCUUGUACACACCGCCCGUCACACCAUGAGAGUUGGGAAUACCCGAAGCCUGUGAGCUAACGUUAAGAGGCAGCAGUCGAAGGUAGAAUCAAUGAUUGGGGUGAAGUCGUAACAAGGUAGC
rnacentral:rRNA from 1 species